ensembl:ncRNA H03A11.6 ncRNA
CAAAACAUCUGGAUUUGAUGAGAAUAGUGUUGUGGUGUAAUAAUGAUUGGGGGUGAAUCGGGGGCAGCUGCUUGAUGAUAUCCACACGGAUUAGUUUUCAUUUUCAUCUUCCUAUCAAAUUGUUG